AGCCGAGCCGCGUCUGCACCAAGCCGAGCCGGUCCUGCCUUCUUCCAGCCGAGCCGCCAAGCCUGUUUUGGCUCCUUCCACCUAAAUUUUUGCAAAUUGGACCAAAUAGCUGCUGCAGCUUAGGACUUCCUCAGUAGGAACUCAUCUAGCAACAUCUCGAGGAAGAAUGCCGCCACGUAGAGGUGCACGCCGAGGAGGUGGCAGGGGAGGCAGAGGAGCCGGUCGUGGCCAACCGGCGGAGCAACCUGCCGCGCCGCCAGUCAACCCCGACGUACCAGUCAACCCUAAUGCACCGGUCACUCAGGCGGAUCUCGCCGCAAUGGAGCAGCGUUACCAGG